rnacentral:rRNA from 1 species
CCCAGUAACGGCGAGUGAAGCGGCAAGAGCUCAAAUUUGAAAUCUGGCCUCCCCCGGGGGCCCGAGUUGUAAUUUGCAGAGGAUGCUUCGGGUGCGGCCGCCGUCUAAGUUCCUUGGAACAGGACGUCAGAGAGGGUGAGAAUCCCGUCUUGGGCGGGCGGUGCGCGCCCGUGUGAAGCUCCUUCGACGAGUCGAGUUGUUUGGGAAUGCAGCUCUAAGCGGGUGGUAAAUUUCAUCUAAAGCUAAAUACUGGCCGGAGACCGAUAGCGCACAAGUAGAGUGAUCGAAAGGUUAAAAGCACCUUGAAAAGGGAGUUAAACAGCACGUGAAAUUGUUGAAAGGGAAGCGCUUGCGGUCAGACUCGGGGGCGGGGUUCAGCGGGCGCUCGUCGCCCGUGCACUCCCCGCCUCCCGGGCCAGCAUCAGUUUCGACGGCCGGUCAAAGGCCCCCGGAAUGUGUCGUCUCUCGGGACGUCUUAUAGCCGGGGGUGCAAUGCGGCCCGUCGGGACUGAGGAACGCGCUCCGGCUCGGAUGCUGGCGUAAUGGCCGUAAGCGGCCCGUCUUGAAACACGGACCAAGGAGUCUAACAUCCACGCGAGUGUUCGGGUGUCAAACCCGUGCGCGCAGUGAAAGCGAACGGAGGUGGGAGCCCUAGGGCGCACCAUCGACCGAUCCUGAAGUCUUCGGAUGGAUUUGAGUAGGAGCGUGGCCGUUGGGACCCGAAAGAUGGUGAACUAUGCCUGAAUAGGGUGAAGCCAGAGGAAACUCUGGUGGAGGCUCGCAGCGGUU